UCCGCAUUAGUGUAGGGGUUAACAUACUCCGCUUUCAAAUGAAGGUGCCGGAGAGCCCCGGGUUCGAUUCCCGGAUGCGGAA
rnacentral:tRNA from 2 species